CCUCCGUCUGUUUUCCAGAAUUAACUGACUCCAGGCUGGGUCCAGCGUGUGCACUGGCCAGAAGUUGGGGAGCCCAGGGACUCUCCACCCGCGCUCCGGAAGAGGGCUGUUGGGGGAUGGCAGGGAGGGGGUCGAGAGGCUCGAAACUCCCAGUGGAGGGGUUCGUGGAGGGGUCUCGGCCGGGUGCGCCCAACCGGAGGCAGUAGAGAAGGCAGAGGGAGGCCGGAUUUUUCUUCCCACAAGAUAAAAGAUCCGCCCAAGCGGCCUCCCUUCUAGGCAAGGAACACAUUUCACUCCAAAGGGGAAUUUCCCCCCCACCUGGUAGAGGCCGAAUUCCCAGUUUCCCACGUAGGACUCUUUUGUGAAAGUCUCCAAACAAAAACACCCCGCAUCCGAACAUCACCUAAAGACCAUCAGUCAGGGUGGGAGAGUGGGCAGAAGACGCAUUCCCUUCCUUAAAGUAUCCCCCAAAUAAAGCGCGCCCUUUCCGACGA